rnacentral:rRNA from 1 species
GUGGGGAAUCUUGCGCAAUGGGCGAAAGCCUGACGCAGCCAUGCCGCGUGAAUGAUGAAGGUCUUAGGAUUGUAAAAUUCUUUCACCGGGGACGAUAAUGACGGUACCCGGAGAAGAAGCUCCGGCUAACUUCGUGCCAGCAGCCGCGGUAAUACGAAGGGGGCUAGCGUUGCUCGGAAUUACUGGGCGUAAAGGGCGCGUAGGCGGACAGCUUAGUCAGAGGUGAAAGCCCAGGGCUCAACCUUGGAAUUGCCUUUGAUACUAGCUGUCUUGAGUAUGGGAGAGGUUAGUGGAACUCCGAGUGUAGAGGUGAAAUUCGUAGAUAUUCGGAAGAACACCAGUGGCGAAGGCGACUCACUGGCCCAAUACUGACGCUGAGGCGCGAAAGCGUGGGGAGCAAACAGGAUUAGAUACCCCGGUAGUCC